GGUUGGCUCAGUAGGUAGAACAUGUAACUCUUGAUCUUGGGAUUGUGAGUUUGAAGCCCAUGUUGGGUG
rnacentral:tRNA from 1 species